rnacentral:tRNA from 1 species
GGUCUGGUGGUGUAGUUGGUUAUCACGUCAGUCUAACAGUUCGAGUCCGCUCGAUCUGAGCACACUGAAGGUCUCCGGUUCAAGUCCGGGCUAGAUCA